GCACUGACAACAUUCAACAAACAGAGACAACUGGGGCGGUCUGAUUGAGAGAGCAAACAAAGGCAAGGUAGGAACCUUUGCAGUGUUUUGCAACUGGACCAUGGAAAACAGGCAAAGACAGCCAAAGAGUGAGAGAACCUAUCAGACCCUUAGCUUGCCACCUAACACAGAGCAUCAAUUCAACACCUGACACCUUACUGCCCCUUUGAGAAGGCUGAAGAGAAUGAAGGGCUCUGGAAGACUGCAUUAAGCACACAGAUGAGAGUGAGGCCUCUGGGUGCCUCAGAUAACACCGCUAAACAGAAUAAAAUCUCUUUGUAGACAGA